GUAGUUCUACGUGUAGAGCUGAAAUGCGCAUAGAUAUGGAGAGACACCAGAGUGGAGAGCGACUCUCUGGUCUGUGUAAGACACUGAGAUGCGAGAGAGUGGGGAUCGCACACGAUUAGAGACCCCGGUAGUCCACACGCUGUAAGCUGAGAGUUAAGAGUUAGGGAGUGUCUGCCCCUUACAGUUGCACAUAAAACGCUAAGCACUCUCCGCGGGGAGAGUGACCCCAAGGUUGAAAAUCUAAGGAAUUGAGGGGGACCCCCACACGAGGUGGAGCGCGUGGUUUAAUUUGCAGCAACACGAAGAACCCUACCACAUCUUGACAUCUCUUGACACCUCUAUAGAUAGAGCCUUUCCCUUUGGGGGACAAAGUGACAGGUGGUGCAUGGUUGUCGUCAGCUCGUGUCGUGAGAUGUUGGGUUAAGUCCCGCAACGAGCGCAACCCUUAAGGUUAGUUGCCAUCAUUAAGUUGGGCACUCUAACUAGACUGCCGGUGACAAACCGGAGGAAGGUGGGGAUGACGUCAAAUCAUCAUGCCCCUUAUGACUUGGGCUACACACGUGCUACAAUGGGCAAUACAAAGGGCAGCUAAGCCGCGAGGUCAAGCAAAUCCCAUAAACUUGUUCUCAGUUCGGAUUGUAGUCUGCAACUCGCACUACAUGAAACCGGAAUCGCUAGUAAUCGUGUAAUUCCGCCCG
rnacentral:rRNA from 1 species